rnacentral:rRNA from 1 species
GUGAGGAAUAUUGCGCAAUGGGGGAAACCCUGACGCAGCGACGCCGCGUGAGUGAGGAAGGCCUUCGGGUCGUAAAGCUCUGUCAAAGGGAAAGAAGUGCAUGAUGGCUAAUACCUGUCAUGUUUGACGGUACCCUUAAAGGAAGCACCGGCUAACUCCGUGCCAGCAGCCGCGGUAAUACGGAGGGUGCAAGCGUUGUUCGGAAUCACUGGGCGUAAAGGGCGCGUAGGCGGUUUGAUAAGUCAGAUGUGAAAGCCCACGGCUUAACUGUGGAAGUGCAUUUGAAACUGUCAGACUUGAGUAUCAGAGGGGAAAGUGGAAUUCCCGGUGUAGAGGUGAAAUUCGUAGAUAUCGGGAGGAAUACCGGUGGCGAAGGCGACUUUCUGGCUGAAUACUGACGCUGAGGCGCGAAAGCGUGGGGAGCAAACAGGAUUAGAAACCCCUGUAGUCC